AGAGUUUGAUCCUGGCUCAGAACUAACGCUUGUGGUGUGUCUUAGUCAUGCGAGUCGAACGAGAACGUUUUCUUCGGAAAAUUAGUAAAGUGGCGAACGGGUGAGUAACACGUGGGUAAUCUGCCCUUGGGUUGGGAACAACACUUCUAACGAAGUGCUAAUACCGAAUGAUAAAUUGUGACAUAAGUUGCAAUUUUAAAGGUGGCCUCUACUUGUAAGCUGCCGCCUGAGGAUGAGCCCGCGCCGUAUUAGCUUGUUGGUAGGGUAACGGCCUACCAAGGCAACGAUGCGUAGCCGGCCUGAGAGGGUGAACGGCCACACUGGAACUGAGACAAGGUCCAGUCUUCUACGGAAGCCAGCAGUCUAGAAAUUUGCACAAUCGUCGAAAGACGGAUGCAGCGACACCACGUGGAGGAUGACGCCCUUCGGGGUGUAAACUCCUGUCAGUUGGGACGAAGGCGCAGGCGUUAAUACCGCUUGUUGCUUGACGGUACCAUCAGAGGAAGCUCCGGCAAACUACGUGCCAGCAGCCGCGGUAAUACGUAGGGAGCGAGCGUUGUUCGGAUUUACUGGGCGUAAAGAGCACGUAGGCGGGCAUGCAAGUCGGUUGUGAAAUCCUCUGGCUCAACCAGAGAACUGCAAUCGAAACUGCAUGCCUUGAGUCUAGCAGAGGAAAUCGGAAUCUUAGGUGUAGCGGUGAAAUGCUUAGAUAUCUAAGAGAACACCAGUGGCGAAGGCGGAUUUCUGGGCUAGCACUGACGCUGAGGUGCGAAAGCUGAGGGAGCGAACAGGAUUAGAUACCCUGGUAGUCUCAGCCGUAAACGAUGGGUACUAGGUGUUGGGGGACAUUGACCCCCUCAGUGCCGUAGCUAACGCAUUAAGUACCCCGCCUGGGGAGUACGACCGCAAGGUUGAAACUCAAAGGAAUUGACGGGGACCCGCACAAGCAGUGGAGCAUGUUGCUUAAUUCGAUGCAACGCGAAGAACCUUACCAGGGCUUGACAUCUGGGGAACCCCCUAGAAAUAGGGGGGUGCCUUCGGGAGCCCCAAGACAGGUGCUGCAUGGCUGUCGUCAGCUCGUGUCGUGAGAUGUUGG
rnacentral:rRNA from 1 species